rnacentral:rRNA from 1 species
AGCAGCCGCGGUAAUUCCAGCUCCAAUAGCGUAUAUUAAAGUUGUUGCAGUUAAAAAGCUCGUAGUUGAAUUUCGGAAUCUGUCCGUUGGUCGGGCUUAACUGUCCGUACUGAUGUGAUGGGUUCUUACCUUCUGAAUAACCAGCAUGCCAUUAAUUUAGUGCGUUGGGGAAGCAGGACUAUUACCUUGAAAAAAUUAGAGUGCUCAAAGCAGGCUAGUGCCUGAAUACAUUAGCAUGGAAUAAUAAAAUAGGACGGCAUGGUUCUAUUUUGUUGGUUUCUAGGAUCACCGUAAUGGUUAAUAGGGAUAGUUGGGGGCAUUAGUAUUCAAUUGUCAGAGGUGAAAUUCUUGGAUUUAUUGAAGACUAACUUCUGCGAAAGCAUUUGCCAAGGAUGUUUUCAUUAAUCAAGAACGAAAGUUAGGGGAUCGAAGACGAUCAGAUACCGUCGUAGUCUUAACCAUAAACUAUGCCGACUAGGGAUCGGACGAUGUUAAUUUUAUAAUGACUCGUUCGGCG